rnacentral:rRNA from 1 species
GACGAGCCACACGAACGUUAUUCGGAAUUACUGGGCUUAAAGGGUGCGUAGGCGGCCAACUAAGUCAGACGUGAAAUCCCUCGGCUUAACCGGGGAACUGCGUCUGAUACUGGAUGGCUUGAAUCCGGGAGAGGGAUGCGGAAUUCCAGGUGUAGCGGUGAAAUGCGUAGAUAUCUGGAGGAACACCGGUGGCGAAGGCGGCAUCCUGGACCGGCAUUGACGCUGAGGAGCGAAAGCCAGGGGAGCAAACGGG